CGUCACUCCCCACUAAGCAAUACACAUGGUUGAAAGGUGUGUGGUUUCUUUGUGUGAUUGUACUGUUGCUGAGUGAGUGUUGCAUGCAUGUGUGUAGUUGGAUGAGUGUGAUUGUGUGGGUGUGUGAGAGCACUGGCGGAUCCAGGGGGGGGGCAACGGGGCAAUUGCCCCCCCCGAGAAAUCCGCCGGUCUCCCUCCCCUGUCAGCACAUGCAGGUGCUAGCCCUGCAAUGUGCCUGCGGACCGGAGGGGAGAUCAGAGCUCUCCCUCCCCGGUCCGCAGACACUGUGCUGACAGCCGGCAGGGGAGGGAGAGGGAGGACCCGGGAGCUCAGCCUGCAGCUCCUCCGGGUCCUCCUCUCGCGAGAUUUGGAGCGUUGCCGCGGUUACCAUGGCAACGCUCCAAAUCUCGCGAGAGUGAACUCUAGCCCGGAAGCGUGGGCUAGCGUUCACUCUCACCACUGGGACCACCAGGGAAUCACCACUGGGACCACCAGGGAUGAAAAUAUGUCCCCCCUCCUCCUCAAUAAAGGUAAGAAGGGAGGGGGGACAUAGA